UGGGGAAUAUUGCACAAUGGACGAAAGUCUGAUGCAGCAACGCCGCGUGGAGGAUGACACAUUUAGGUGCGUAAACUCCUUUUAUAUAGGAAGAUAAUGACGGUACUAUAUGAAUAAGCACCGGCUAACUCCGAGACAGCAGCCGCGGUAAUACGGAGGGUGCAAGCGUUACUCGGAAUCACUGGGCGUAAAGAGAGUGUAGGCGGAUGUAUAAGUCAGAAGUGAAAUCCAAUAGCUUAACUAUUGAACUGCUUUUGAAACUGUAUAUCUAGAAUGUGGGAGAGGUAGAUGGAAUUUCUGGUGUAGGGGUAAAAUCCGUAGAGAUCAGAAGGAAUACCGAUUGCGAAGGCGAUCUACUGGAACAUUAUUGACGCUGAGACGCGAAAGCGUGGGGAGCAAACA
rnacentral:rRNA from 1 species